AUUGAACGCUGGCGGCAUGCUUUACACAUGCAAGUCGAACGGUAACAGGCCUUCGGGUGCUGACGAGUGGCGAACGGGUGAGUAAUGCAUCGGAACGUGCCCAAUCGUGGGGGAUAACGUAGCGAAAGUUACGCUAAUACCGCAUAAGCCCUGAGGGGGAAAGUGGGGGACCGCAAGGCCUCACGCGAAUGGAGCGGCCGAUGUCAGAUUAGCUAGUUGGUGGGGUAAAGGCCCACCAAGGCGACGAUCUGUAGCGGGUCUGAGAGGAUGAUCCGCCACACUGGGACUGAGACACGGCCCAGACUCCUACGGGAGGCAGCAGUGGGGAAUAUUGGACAAUGGGGGCAACCCUGAUCCAGCCAUGCCGCGUGUGUGAAGAA
rnacentral:rRNA from 1 species